UACGAAGGGGGCUAGCGUUGCUCGGAAUCACUGGGCGUAAAGCGCACGUAGGCGGCUUACUAAGUCAGGGGUGAAAUCCUGGAGCUCAACUCCAGAACUGCCUUUGAUACUGGUGAGCUUGAGUCCGGAAGAGGUGAGUGGAACUGCGAGUGUAGAGGCGAAAUUCGUAGAUAUUCGCAAGAACACCAGUGGCGAAGGCGGCUCACUGGUCCGGUACUGACGCUGAGGUGCGAAAGCGUGGGGAGCAAACAGG
rnacentral:rRNA from 1 species